UCCCGGCACAGUGGCGUGUGCCUAUAGUCCCAGCUACUCCAGAGGCUGAGAUAAGAGGAUCACUUGAGCCCAGGAGUUCUGGGCUGUAGUGCACUAUGCUGAUCAGGUGUUCACACUAAGUUUGGCAUCAGUAUGGUGACCUCCAGGGAGUGGGGGACCACCAGCUUGCCUAAGGAGGGGUGAACCGGCCCAGGUCAGAAACGGAGCAGGUCAAAACUCCCGUGCUGAUCAGUAGUGGGAUUACACCUGUGAAUAGCCACUGUUCUCCAGCCUGGGCAACAUAGCAAGACCCCGUCUCU
rnacentral:SRP_RNA from 1 species